rnacentral:rRNA from 1 species
CCCNNGGGAAGGGAAAGGGUGGGGAUGACGUCAAAUCAUCAUGCCCUUUAUAUCCUGGGCUACACACGUGCUACAAUGGCCGGUACAACGGGAGGCGAAAGCGCGAGCUGGAGCAAACCCCCCAAAACCGGUCCCAGUUCGGAUUGCAGGCUGCAACUCGCCUGCAUGAAGUCGGAAUCGCUAGUAAUCGCAGGUCAGCAUAUUGCGGUGAAUACGUUC